GUCGCGCCAUGAGAUUUUUGGCCCAAAUGCGGCGUUACGUCAUUCGAGAAAAACCCGAUUAAAGUUACGUCACAAAAAUGAGUGGAGUUCAACACGUUUUCGCGUCAAUUAAUGCAUUUUAUCAAUUAACACUAUACUAUUGGGACGAUAAAUGAAUGAAGAGACAAACGUCAUUUACCAAGCAGGUAUUGUAACAGUUCCGUGUUUUGACAUUUCGUUUCAUUAUCAAAUAAUUGACAAUUUAUCGCCCUUUGUAUCAACACGCCAUUUGUAAACAUGAAAGGUCGUGUGAAAGGAAAUUUUUAAACAGUAAUUUGACGAUUGAUUUAAAAGGGAUAAUGAAUGUCAUUGAGCGAUUUACUGAUCAACUAUUGAUGAACUACUGAGAAACAUCUGGCAUAUUGCUAUGACCUUAAACAAAAAAAGGAAUUCUCAAGGCAUGCCUACAUACCACAUGUUGGAAGAGUUUGUGGAAUGGCUGAAGGAAGAAAGAAUUUCCAGCCAGAAAAAAAAGAAUUCUUUAUGAAUUUGUGAAUGGAAAUGAAACCCAAGGAACUAAUAUAUUUGCUUACCAUCCAGUUGAAAAUAUGCCAAUGGAAUAAAGUGCAACUGUCAAAGAAGUGCACAAAAUAAGGUCAUGUUUUCUGCAAAAGUUCACCAAGCUGAUUCAAACUACAAAUGGGAGUCAAGAAAAAAGUAAAACUAACUGAACUGCCACAGUUCAACUGUGAGAAAUGUUUGGUAAAAGUAUGUUUUGUUGUCAGAACAGCAGUGAAGUGGUUAGAGUAAAACUGUCUUCAUUGUUUAAGCAAUACAGAUUUUUUUAAAAAAACAUACUCCAUGCAUAAUAUAUCUUGAGUGCUCUUUUUUAUUUAAAUAAUCAUACAGUUUCAAGAAAUUUGACAAUAAAUGCUAUCUUUAAUUUUAUAAGAAAAUAGUGCAUUGUUGCCAUGGUAUUAAACAUUAAUCUGACAAUAAAUUAUUGUAAAACAUCUUUCAUGUUUAUAUGUUCUAUUUGUUAAAAAAAAUAAUGGAAGGUCAUAUUCUUUUCUAAGUAGUAACUGCAUCAACAAAACAUUUAGUUUUCUUUGAAUCUGCCUUAAACUAGCAAGAGUUGUGUCGUGUGUAUCAGAAAAUUAUGUAUAUCCCAAACAGUGUCACAUCAAUUUACAUGAAAUGAGGUUUUCUUACUUUUAAAUAUGAAAUUAGACAGCUUUCAAUGUAUAUAUUAUUUUGAAAAACACUUUAACAUAUUCAAUUAUUUCAAGAACUUGAUAGCAAUGGUACUUUUGGUAAGAAAAUACAUCAUGGUUGCUAUGGUAACGAGUCACUGAUCAGUGUGACAUCUGUACUACUACUUUAAGCAAAAUCAGUUUUAAUAUUUCUAAUAAUUAUAUCUUUUUGCCUGAUUUUCUGUCUAACAGUUACAAAGAAAUAUGUCAAUGUGUCAAGUGUUCUAACAAGAAGGUUAAUUUGUCAUAGUUUUGUCAUGUUAUCUAACCCGUAAUCCAGUAAAUCUAUUUUUGUACAAAAGAAAGCCAUAUUAAGAUUUUUGCAAAAAAAAAAAAUGUUAUCUUUAAACUCUGUCUGUACACUGAAAAAUGUUGACGGUAUAUUAACUUCACUUUUUUGAUGUAAAUUUUGCCUGGAUUUAUCAAGGAACUAUUCAAAUUGGAUUUAACAACUGUGUUGCCAUGGAAACGAUUUUAAGGGGAAAAUAAUAUGUGCUUAUAUAAAAAAAAAUGAAACAGAAAUAAAUAAAUUUAAUUAACUGUAUGUUAUGUUUGAUAUUUCAUUAUGUAUUUUUUUUUUCAUAUUAUUUUAAGAAGGAGUCUGAAUAAAGAUAUUCUGCCUCUAUUUUGAUACAGUUAGACGAAAAUAUGGUGUCCGAAAGGCGGUAUUUUCUCCAUAACAACGGCUGAUUUCUGUUGUCUAAUAGCAGAUUUUUACUUGGAACAUGACAAUCUGUCAGAUUACCUGAAAACCCCAUUUUCGACCAAAAUCGCAUUUGGGC
rnacentral:lncRNA from 1 species